CGGUAACAGGUGUGCAAUACAUGCUGACGAGAGGCGGACGGGUGAGGAAUAUUUGGGAAUCUGCCCAUCAGCGGGGGACAACCCGGGGAAACCCGGGCUAAUACCGCAUACGCUCUACGGAGGAAAGCCGGGGACCGCAAGGCCUGGCACUGAUGGAUGAGCCCAAAUCGGAUUAGCUAGUUGGCGGGGUAACGGCCCACCAAGGCGACGAUCCGUAGCUGGUCUGAGAGGACGAUCAGCCACACCGGAACUGAGACACGGUCCGGACUCCUACGGGAGGCAGCAGUGGGGAAUAUUGGACAAUGGGGGAAACCCUGAUCCAGCGACGCCGCGUGGGUGAAGAAGGCCUGCGGGUUGUAAAGCCCUUUCGGUAGGGACGAAAGCUCUUGCUCUAAUAAUGCAAGAGGUUGACUUAACCUACAUAAGAAGCACCGGCUAACUCUGUGCCAGCAGCCGCGGUAAUACAGAGGGUGCGAGCGUUAAUCGGAAUUACUGGGCGUAAAGUGCACGUAGUCGGCUUGUCAAGUCGGGUGUGAAAUCCCCGGGCUCAACCUGGGAACU
rnacentral:rRNA from 1 species